UACCUACCAAGUGCUGAGAUUGCUGGCAUG
rnacentral:piRNA from 1 species